rnacentral:tRNA from 1 species
GAGGGUAUAGCUCAGCAGUAGAGCAUGUGCUUAGCAUGCACAAGGUCCUGGGUUCAAUCCCCAGUACCUCCA